rnacentral:rRNA from 1 species
CUCAGAUUGAACGCUGGCGGCAUGCCUUACACAUGCAAGUCGAACGGCAGCGCGGGGCAACCUGGCGGCGAGUGGCGAACGGGUGAGUAAUAUAUCGGAACGUGCCCUGGAGUGGGGGAUAACGUAGCGAAAGUUACGCUAAUACCGCAUACGAUCUAAGGAUGAAAGUGGGGGAUCGCAAGACCUCAUGCUCCUGGAGCGGCCGAUAUCUGAUUAGCUAGUUGGUGGGGUAAAGGCCCA